rnacentral:rRNA from 1 species
AGUGAACGCUGGCGGUAGGCCUAACACAUGCAAGUCGAACGGCAGCACAGUAAGAGCUUGCUCUUACGGGUGGCGAGUGGCGGACGGGUGAGGAAUACAUCGGAAUCUACUUUUUCGUGGGGGAUAACGUAGGGAAACUUACGCUAAUACCGCAUACGACCUACGGGUGAAAGCAGGGGAUCUUCGGACCUUGCGCGAUUGAAUGAGCCGAUGUCGGAUUAGCUAGUUGGCGGGGUAAAGGCCCACCAAGGCGACGAUCCGUAGCUGGUCUGAGAGGAUGAUCAGCCACACUGGAACUGAGACACGGUCCAGACUCCUACGGGAGGCAGCAGUGGGGAAUAUUGGACAAUGGGCGCAAGCCUGAUCCAGCAAUACCGCGUGGGUGAAGAAGGCCUUCGGGUUGUAAAGCCCUUUUGUUGGGAAAGAAAAGCAGCAGGUUAAUACCCCGCUGUUCUGACGGUACCCAAAGAAUAAGGACCGGCUAACUUCGUG